rnacentral:rRNA from 1 species
AACGAACGCUGGCGGCAGGCUUAACACAUGCAAGUCGAACGCCCCGCAAGGGGAGUGGCAGACGGGUGAGUAACGCGUGGGAAUCUACCCAUCUCUACGGAACAACUCCGGGAAACUGGAGCUAAUACCGUAUACGCCCUUAGGGGGAAAGAUUUAUCGGGGAUGGAUGAGCCCGCGUUGGAUUAGCCAGUUGGGGGGGUAAAGGCCUACCAAGCCGACGAUCCAUAGCUGGUUUGAGGGGAUGAUCAGCCACACUGGGACUGAGAUCCGGCCCAGACACCUACUGGAGGCAGCAGUUGGGAAUCUUAAACAAUGGGGGAAACCCUGAUCUAGCCAUGCCGCGUGAUCGAUGAAGGCCUUAGGGUUGUAAAGAUCUUUCAGUGGGGAAGAUAAUGACUGUACCCACAGAAGAAGCCCCGGCUAACUCCGUGCCAGCCGCCGCAGUAACAC